AUUAAUUUAAUGUAAAUUUGCAUAUUAACUUUUCGUGUUAAAAGAAGAUUUUUUUCUAAUUAAUA
rnacentral:tRNA from 1 species